rnacentral:lncRNA from 13 species
ACACAAAUUGUGACCAUGGAGGUGGGGCAAGGCUGCUAGGAAGAACAGGGAGUGUCUGAGGUAGUGAUUCUCCUACCUCAGCCUCCCAAGUAGCUGGCAUUACAGAUUCAAGCAAUUCUCCUGCCUCAGUCUCCACAGUAGCUGGAACUACUGCCUCCCAGAUUCAAGCAAUUCUCCUGCCUCAGUCUCCGCAGUAGCUGGAACUACAGAGACGAGCUCUUGCUCUGUCACCUAGGCUGGAGUGCAGUGGCUCAGUAAUAGCUCACUGCAGCCUUAAAAUCCUGGACUCAAAUGAUCUUCCCACCUCAGCUUUCUGAGUAGGUAAGACCGCAGGUGUGCACCACACCCUGCAAAGAUUUUACAUUUUUUUGUAGUAA